CUCUGCAUCCCUAGAGGAAGAGAGCCCGCCUGGGCGCCCCUGAGCCGCUCCCCAGGGGAGAGAGGAGAUCUCUGUUUACUCAAGACCGAAAGCAGCCGGAUUCAAGGUAUUCCAGACAACUCAGGCCCAUCUGCUACACUUGAUGGAAGAAGGGAUCGUGUAUCUUCUGCAAAGGAGAGCCAGAGAGAGUGCUGCUGGAGACGGGUAACUCAGCAGCAACAUCUCACAGAAACACAGGCAGGAAGGAAUGAUCCACUGGAUGAUGUCGCCCACUUGAAAGAACGUUUUGGCUCUGCUGUGGUGAUCCACCGGUCCGCUUCCCAGAGGAUAAACAUCUCCGGAAACACCCACUUUUAACCUGAUAUCAUUGAGAGUCUAUCAGCCCCUAAAAUAUAAUCCUGCCCUAUAAAAGCAUCCUGCAAGCAGGGGCCAGACUGGCAACACAGGUUCCUCUCCACCAUGCUUAGUUCGCCUGCUCUCCGAAGGACACAGGUGCACGGCUCUCCUCAAAGCCUCAGUGUGGUGACAUACCUAAAAGGCAUGUGUGCACUGUCCACGGCAGAUGUGCUCAGAAACACGUGGGGUGCUUCCUGUGACGACUCUGACACGAUUCAUAUGUCCAACUACUGUUAAUUGAGGGCACCGUGUGCGCUCCCAGACUCUCCAGUCUGUCCCCAAAGCGUCUGGGGAGAUUUAGGCAUCCCCUAGAAAAUGUGAUAAUGAGGCAGGUGUAGUUCUGUACAAGACAGAUGGGCUGGAGGGGGAAGACUAACCCAGCUCCCCGUCCGAUAGAAACACAAGAGAAGCUGUGUUUAAUGUCACAUUCGCUAGUAGCUUCUUAAAGAGGAGAAAAUAAAUAGCUGAAGUUAGUGUCUUGACA
rnacentral:lncRNA from 1 species